UGGCAACUAUGAUGAAAGAUUUGUUCUGCAUUGUAGUAAUGUUUUAUUACUGAAUGAGGACAACAGUCCCUCUAAACUGAUGUUGCCA
ensembl:snoRNA Gm25970 predicted gene, 25970